UCUGGUUGAUCCUGCCAGUUGUCAUAUGCUUCUUUCAAGGACUAAGCCAUGCAAAUGUCAGUGGACUCGGGGUUUCUCGGGGGGACUGUGUACGGCUCAUUAAACGGUUAAUAGUCUACCCAACAGCGGGAGCGUGCGUGCUCUCCGACGGGAUAACCGCCCUAACCGGGCAGCUAAUACCUGGAAGACAGAUCCUUUGCCAAUCAACCACGGUCGGGGUAAAACCCGAUUGUGGGGUGAAGGAUGCUAUUGGCCGGAACAAAGACCAACGCGACGAUUGUCAAAGGUCGUGGCAGAUGGAAUUGUUGACACAGGCCAAUGAAGCAGAAGCGUCACGGGCUAGUACCUCGUGAUGCGGUGUUGGACGAAUUCACCACCUAUCAGGUAGAAGGUAGUGUAGUGGACUACCUUGCCUCUGACGGGUAACGGAGGAUUGGGGUUCGAUUCCGGAGAGGGUGCCUGAGAAAUGGCAACCAUGACUACGGUCAGCAGCAGGCGCGCAAAUUGCCCAAUGCAGACGAUGCGAGGCAGCGACGAAAAAUAGUAUUUCUGAUGCUCAAAUUGAGCCUCAGAUUGCAAUGGAUUGUAUCUAAUACACACUGCUGAGUAGCAAUUGGAGGGCAAGUCUGGUGCCAGCAGCCGCGGUAAUUCCAGCUCCAAGAGCGUAUAUAAAUGUUGUUGCGGUUAAAAAGCCCGUAGUUGGAUUUGAGAGCAAGGCUUGUGAUGGCUACUUCGCGUCCACAGUGGAUGUCAGCCUUCGGGUUGGCGUGUUGCUGUGGAAGUGGAGGUUCAUAGACAUCACAUAUGGGCUUUGGUCUGAGACAUGCGGGAUUGUCCACUGGCCCAUCUCAGACACAUUCGUUUGUGUGUGAGGGGCAACAUCGGAGGGUUGAUUCAAUCCACUCCACAAGGUGCGCCCGCAGACGUCACUGUGAGUAAACCAGAGUGUUCAAGGCAACCAUCAAUGCGUGGUUGAAUGUUAAAGCAUGGAAUGACAAGGGAUCGACCUGGAGGGCCUCUUUUUGUUGGUAUCUUUAAGCCUUUCAUUAUCAAUCUUGGGGAAUCGAUGGUCACAUGAGUUAUCAUGUUUGGCAGGUGCCUUUCACGAGGUUGCUUGUUUCAAUCUUGGUGGCUUGUGGGAUCAACACACGGGAUCAAUAGGAGCACAGGGGGCCAUGAGUACUGGCAGGCUGGUGGUGAAAUACUGUGACCCUGCCAAGACUGACAUCAGCGAAAGCACUUGGCAAUUGUGCUUUCAUUAAUCAAGGACGAGAGAUCGGGGAUUGAAGAGGAUUAGACACCCUCGUAAUCCGUUCUGUAAAUUCUGCAGACUUGGGAUCGGUCAGCGAUCUGAUAACCAAUAGACCUGAUCGGCACCUUCCUCCUAUUAUCGAGAAAUCAUUAAGUCUAUGUGUUCCGGGGGGAGUACAUUCGCAAGGCUGAAACUUAAAGGAAUUGACGGAGAACCACCACCAGUCGUGGAGUGUGUGGCUUAAUUCGACCCAACACGGGAAAUUUUACCAGGCCAGGACGUGGUAAGGAUUGCCAGAUUGAAAGCUCUUGCAUGAUUCCGCGAAGGGUGGUGCAUGGCCGCUUCUGGUUGGUGAAGUGAUUUGUCUGCUUAAUUGCGUUAACGAACGAGAUCUCUGCCAAUUACUAGAUGCAUGCCUCGUGAAAU
rnacentral:rRNA from 1 species